rnacentral:snRNA from 1 species
GUGCUCGCUUCGGCAGCACAUAUACUAAAAUUGGAACGAUGUAGAAAAGAUUAGCAUGGCCCCUGUGCAAGGAUAACAUGCAAAUUCGUGAAGCGUUCCAUGUUUUU